CGAUUGCACGAAUGCGGAGAUCGACAAUAACACUGCAGACUGUUCCAGGGUUGUUGCUGUUUGGAAAGUGUAUACAUGUGUCAUUUUUAGCGAAGAUGAGCUUAGGUGGAAGUGACAUCAGCGUGACUGGCUCGUUGAAAUCUUCAAUAAGCGAGAAGGGAGAGUUUUGUGAGGAAUGUUAGCUGUAACAGAUGAUGGGUCAAGUGGAUUUAAAGCGGAGGCCAACCUCUACCAUCUGUACGUGUCCCUGUCGUGUCCAUAGGCCCACCUCGCCCUUAUACUUCGAGCACUGAAGGGGUUCCACGAUGUCAUCUCCUGUACUGUUGUGGAUUGGGUGUUGAGAAAUUCAAUGAUCAGCCCGAUCAACAACGGAGUGUACCGCUGUGGGUUUGCACGGAGCCAGGAGGCGUACGACAGCGCUGUCACUGAACCAUUCCAGGGACUGUGUAAGAUAAAGCAACAAGUUGUGCAGAAGAAAAGUACACUUUCUUAAUUUACGCCUUCAUGGGAAGUCCAAGUUAGAAUAGGUCCCCAGCAACCUCUGUUUGUCAUAAGAGGUGACCAAAUGGAUAGGGUGGUCAGACUCGGGGACUUUGUUGACUGUGCCUUUAUACAUGUAUACUCCGGCGACGGAUUGGAUCCUUGCUCAAAACAUCCGACACUGGUUUGGCGUUGGACUCGAAACAGUCUCUGUGUCCAAUAUGAAUGCCCAAGGCUAGUGUUUCACACAGGGAUCACAGCACUGCAACAGCUUAUGUUUGACCGUUCCGACACUCUGAUUGAUUUGACAGCGCCAGCCACAGAGUGAUCACAGCACUGCAACAGCUUAUGUUUGACCGUUCCGACACUCUGAUUGAUUUUGACAGCGCCAGCCAGAGUGAUCACAGUCUGAUGGGUGUUGAAGGGGACACAGGUCAGUAUGUGGGCAUCUUAUGAUGGGCCAUCCAAUCCUUUCAGUCGCCUUGUAUGACAGGCCUAGGAUGCAGGAGACCAACUGGGUAUUCUGUCGGAAUCGCCACAGGUCUGAACACUCACAAUAUAGUGCACAAUAUAGUACGUUUGAUGUGAAGAAACACACACAUUUCCAAGAGAACUAAUUGCAUAAGCUUGUGAGAUUAGAACUGUAUUGAACUAGAAGAUACAUUAUGCAGUUCAUGUCAAUGAUGAUGUUUCUCUCUGAUGGUGGAUUCCGUGAAGGGGCGAAAGAAUAUUAAUACAACACACCGCUGAGUAUCAGGAAUAAUACCAAUAAAACAUGUUGAUGAACAUA
rnacentral:lncRNA from 1 species